CCCUUAGAUGUUCUGGGCCGCACGCGCGCUACACUGACGGAGCCAACGAGUAUUUUCCUUGUCCGGAAGGACUGGGUAAUCUUGUGAAACUUUGUCGUGCUGGGGAUAGAGCAUUGUAAUUAUUGCUCUUCAGCGAGGAAUUCCUAGUAAGCGUGAGUCAUCAGCUCGCGUUGAUUACGUCCCUGCCCUUUGUACACACCGCCCGUCGCUCCUACCGAUUGAGUGGUCCGGUGAGGCUUUGGGAUCUGAGCGGAAAGAGCGUUUCGCUGUUUCUGCUCGGAAAACUCAGUCGAACCUUAUCAUUUAGAGGAAGGAGAAGUCGUAACA
rnacentral:rRNA from 1 species